AAAGUCCCGCAAGGGAUGAGUAGAGUGGCAAACGGGUGAGUAACACGUGGGUGACCUGCCUUCGAGCGGGGGAUAACGUCCCGAAAGGGACGCUAAUACCGCAUGACAUCCUGCCUUUGAAGAGGCGGAGAUCAAAGCUGGGGAUCGCAAGACCUGGCACUUGAAGAGGGGCCCGCGCCUGAUUAGCUAGUUGGUGGGGUAACGGCUCACCAAGGCAACGAUCAGUAUCCGGCCUGAGAGGGCGGACGGACACACUGGGACUGAGACACGGCCCAGACUCCUACGGGAGGCAGCAGUAGGGAAUUGUUCGCAAUGGGCGCAAGCCUGACGACGCAACGCCGCGUGGAGGAUGAAGACCUUCGGGUCGUAAACUCCUUUCGAUCGAGACGAAUGGCUUCCGGCUGAAUAAUCCGGGAGAAUGACGGUACCGAGAGAAGAAGCCCCGGCUAACUCCGUGCCAGCAGCCGCGGUAAUACGGGGGGGGCAAGCGUUGUUCGGAAUUACUGGGCGUAAAGGGCUCGUAGGUGGCCAACUAAGUCAGACGUGAAAUCCCUCGGCUUAACCGGGGAACUGCGUCUGAUACUGGAUGGCUUGAGAUUGGGAGAGGGAUGCGGAAUUCCAGGUGUAGCGGUGAAAUGCGUAGAUAUCUGGAGGAACACCGGUGGCGAAGGCGGCAUCCUGGACCAACACUGACACUGAGGAGCGAAAGCCAGGGGAGCAAACGGGAUUAGAUACCCCGGUAGUCCUGGCCCUAAACGAUGAAUGCUUGGUGUGGCGGGUAUCGAUCCCUGCCGUGCCG
rnacentral:rRNA from 1 species